rnacentral:rRNA from 1 species
GUAACACGUAUGUAACCUACCCAUAUCAGGGGGAUAGCCUCUCGAAAGAGACGAGUUAAGCCCGCGAUAACACAUCACAGUCACAGCAUUGAUAUAAUGAUCAAAUAUUUAUAGGAUAUGGAUGGGCAUGCGGCAUCCAUUAGCUAGCUUGGUAAGGUAACGGCUUACCAAGGCUACGAUGUUUAGGGGAUCUGAGAGGAUGACCCCCCACACUGGUACUGAGACACGGACCAGACUCCAUACGGGAGGCAGCAGUAAGGAAUAUAGGAUCAAUGGGCGGAAGCCUGAACCAGCCAUGCCGCGUGCAGGAAGACAGGCCCUAUGGGUUGUAAACUGACUUAAUGC